GUGCUCGCUUCAGCAGUACAUAUACUAAAAUUGGGACAACACAGAGAAGAUUAGCAUGGCCCCUGUGAAAGGAUGACAUGUAAAUUUGUGAAGUGUUUUAUAUUUUU